AAACCUACCCAUAAAUCACCAAAGAGAAAAGCGCCACUACACAAAACUGCAAAAACCGCCUCUCUCACUUGAACAACAGCAGCAGCCAGAGCAAGCUAUGGGGAAAAGCGAUGAUUCCAUUCAGAGAAGGAAGAAUAAGAAGACUAGAAAGAAGCAAGAUGACAAGGUCUCUAAUCGUAUCGCCGGAAUUAUUGCUGCUAAGAAACGUCGACUCUCCGGCAAACGCCGUAUGUGUGAGGGAAUGUGCUAUAGUUUGCCUACACCUGAGGAUCCAUUCAAUGAGAGGCAUGGGAAAGUUGAUCUUGUGACGAAAAAGAAGAAGAAGCAGAACCUGUCGAAGAAGGGCAAGAACCCUAUUAAGAAGACUAGUUUACCACAAAAUUCUGACAAAUUAAAGGAAGAGUUCCACAUGCAUGCUCCAUCUAAGUUCUUAAUUCUCUGUUUGAAAACCAUUCAGGAUGGCCUUCAGCAGGAUGGAGCCUUCAAUGGUGGAGAGGAAAAGCCUUUCUUCGUCCAUACAUGGGGAAUUGAAUUCUGGAAAUAUUUUACCAGUGGCAAAGAUAUAAUUGGUACAAAUCAAGCCCAUGCUACAACUGAGCAAAUUGCUUGGGUUGCAGCAACAACUGCUGAUGCCAUAUCAAGAAAGGAGAAAGAAGGUCUAUCAAUUAGCAACCCCUUCCUUUUAUUCCUUGUUCCCUCCCAAGAGAAAGCUGUCAAGGUGCGGAAAAUAUGCAAGCCUCUGAAAGCUCUUGGAAUACAUACAGUGAGUCUGCAUCCUGGUGCUUCUAUAGACCACCAAAUUCAGGGCCUGAAGAACUGUGAGCCCGAGUUUCUUAUUUCUACUCCUGAAAGACUUCAAGAACUCCUCUCACAUGGUGCCAUUAAAGCUUCUGAUGUUUCUUUCCUGGUCAUCGAUGGACCUCUUACUGAGACAGGUUAUGUUGAUGCGGUUGAAUCCAUUGCAAAAUCUAUUUCUGGAAAGCCACAAAUACUGGCUUUCAGUGAUUGCUCAAAUUCUUCAUCCAAUUUUCUUAUGAAGAAGAGUGUUGGAGAAUCAAUCUGUAGAAUACCGCUUGAUGAUCCAGUAAAUGGUCAUAACAUGGCUUGAGAUAUUUGUGCUUCUAAGUUGUCAAAGAUCUGCCUAAUUACCUAAGCUAUCUGUCUUAAUGACCGAGGGUACAUCGGAAACAACUUCUCUACCCCCAAGGUAGGGAUAAGACAAACGGGGCAUGUUGUCCUUGCAGUUGAUUACACAGCUUCUUGCGGAAGUAGUUCAAACUCAUCAUCGUUACAGAUCCUCUGGUGUCAUUUAACUUGAUAGAAGGAAGUUCUAUAAUAGUAAACUUCUUCCACAUCACGGUGCUGCUUCUUUUCACAUUCGUCUGCAAAAUUCUUUGUUAUAGAGUAGAUGUAUUCGAGAUAUCUUAGAUGGAAGGUUCUUAAUGUUGUGUUUGGAGCGGAAGUCAAUUGUAACAAUGGUGUGUUGUGUUCUGGGAAUAGCCUAACUGGAGAAUUGCAAGAGAUGCAUAUAACCAUUUUACUAUUUGAAAUCAUUUGUUAGUUUCUUAUAUCA